rnacentral:rRNA from 1 species
AUUGAACGCUGGCGGCAGGCCUAACACAUGCAAGUCGAGCGGAUGACGGGAGCUUGCUCCUUGAUUCAGCGGCGGACGGGUGAGUAAUGCCUAGGAAUCUGCCUGGUAGUGGGGGACAACGUUUCGAAAGGAACGCUAAUACCGCAUACGUCCUACGGGAGAAAGCAGGGGACCUUCGGGACUUGCGCUAUCAGAUGAGCCUAGGUCGGAUUAGCUAGUAGGUGAGGUAAUGGCUCACCCAGGCGACGAUCCGUAACUGGUCUGAGAGGAUGAUCAGUCAAACUGGAACUGAGACGCGGUCCAGACUCCUACGGGAGGCAGCAGUGGGGAAUAUUGGACAAUGGGCGAAAGCCUGAUCCAGCCAUGCCGCGUGUGUGAAGAAGGUCUUCGGAUUGUAAAGCACUUUAAGUUGGGAGGAAGGGCAGUAAGCGAAUACCUUGCUGUUUUGACGUUACCGACAGAAUAAGCACCGGCUAACUCUGUGCCAGCCGCCGCAGUAAUAC